AUACGUAGGGGACGAGCGUUGUCCGGAAUUACUGGGUGUAAAGGGAGCGUAGGCGGGAGUGCAAGUCAGUGGUGAAAGACCUGCGCUCAACGCAGGAAGUGCCAUUGAUACUGCAGUGCUGGAGUACCCCUGCCGUGGGAGGAAUGAGUGGUGUCGCGGUGAAAUGCAUAGAUAUCACUCAGAACACCGAUUGCGAAGGCAUCUCACGAAAGGGCAACUGACGCUGAGGCACGAAAGCGUGGGGAUCAAACAGGCUUAGAUACCCUGGUAGUCCACGCCGUAAACGAUGGGCGCUCGUCGUCGGCGGCAGACAGUCGGCGGCCAAGCGAAAGCGAUAAGCGCCCCACCUGGGGAGUACGGUCGCAAGGCUGAAACUCAAAUGAAUUGGCGGGG
rnacentral:rRNA from 1 species